rnacentral:SRP_RNA from 1 species
GCCAGACUCAGUGGUGUACACCUGUAGUUCCAGCUACUCAGUGGCUGAGACAGGAGGAUUGCUUGAGCCCAGGAGUUCUGGGCUGUGGUGCACUAUGCUGAUCUAUUGAUCAAUCCACUGUUGUCUGCACUAAGUUCAGCAUGAAUACAGUGACCUCUUGGGAAGGCAGGGCCAUCAGGUGGCUUAAGAGGGGAUAAACUGGCCUGGGUUGGAAAUGGAGAAGGUCAAAACUGCUGUGCUAUCCGGUAGUGGGAUCACACCUGUGAAUAGCCACUACAUUCCAGCCUAGGCAAUAUCAGGAAACCCUGUCUCU